AAUUUUUUCUUACCUCGGUACGGCACGAAGAAGACGAAGAAAUCAACGAAAGACGGUCUUUUGCACGGGCAAGAUGUAGAAGAUUGCUAGAGGAGGGGGAACAAAUAUCCUCUAAGCUAUCUCUUUCUUGUAGGGUAGAAUAAAUCGCUCUCCAAAGUUGAUUUAAUAACCCACUUAAGGUGGACUUAAAUAGGCUUUAAGAGAAAUUUAUUUCCCUUUCCUAGAAGGAUCUAAUUUAUUAUUAAAGAGAGAAUCUACAUCAAAAUAGGAAGCAGUCCUAAGUUUCCUAAAGCAAGAAGAUCUCUAAACCUGCUGCCCUUUUCUGCGAGCAGCCCAACAGGUGUGGGGGCAUUUGUGGAGCCAAAAAUAUUCAGUAGGCGCCACGUGGUUUUUUGGACAAAAGAGGACAAAAAUGCCCUUGAGGCAUACCGGGAUUCCUACGCGCGAGCAGUGGGCAAUCAUCUUUCAACCAAAUCAAAAGUGCCCAAAAUAUGUAACAAUUUAAAGCCUAUUUCAUCAAAUCCUUUCUAUAAGGUAAUUCCCAAUACCUAAUUUAUUCAAUAUAUUUUCUAUUUCAUUACUUAGCUAAUCAAUUAGCUAAAUAAUACAUUCAUUUCAUAUUACCUAAAAUCUUCCUUUAAAAACAUAAUAAUUGACUAAUUAAGGGAUUAAUUGCGUAAUCAAUCCCUUAAUUGUCAAUUAUAUCACUCAUUCAAACCCAAAACCACUCAAAGGCCGGCCAUCCCCAUUCAAAAAGGAGUUUCACCACUUUUUCUACCCUUUUUCAUCAUUUCUCACUUUUUAUUACACCAAUUGACUAGCCAAUUAAGUUCAUAACCACCAAAACAUUCCCUUUAUGUUUAAUUAGCCAAUUAAUUGACUAAUUAAACCAAAAUUUAACCUAGAAAACCCUAGCUAGUGGCUGGCCACUCCCUUUCCAAAAGGGAUUGGCCUAUCCCUAUAAAUAGGCUCCCAUUUUCACCAAAAAAACAAUUCCAAUACUCUUGCAAAAAUCCCAAAAUUCUCUAAACACUAUUUCUCUCUAAAUUCUAACUUUGGCAUUGGAGGUUCUUCGGCCAAAGCCCCCCCCCCAUUCAUCAUGGGCGCGUGAGGCUUGUGGCCAUAACCAAAUGUGUUAUUUAUUUUGUAGGUGCAAUUUUGUCCAAGAUCAAGGAGGAAGAAAUUUGCAUCCACAGGGAUUGGAUGGGUGCUUCGGGAUUUUGCUGGGAUUCUGAAGUUUGCGGGAGGGGUGGGGUGAGAACGGUAUGGGGCGGCUUUUAUGGUGGAGGCAGCUGCGGUUAGAGAAGGGAUGGAGGCGGUUCUCGGGAGUGAUUGUAUGGAGUAUGGGCUACGUUUGGUGGUGGAAUCAGAUUCGAAGGGGUUGAUUCAAAUGUUGAACAAAGAGGUUAUGGUUGAGGUGACUUCAGAAGUUUAUCUCCAAGACAUUUGGAGGAUGGUGAGCUUAUUCCAGUUGGUAAAGUUUUGCUUUACCUCUCGGAAAUGCAAUCUUGCGGCUCAUUCAAUGACAGCGUACAUUGUUAAGCAUGAUGGGAGAUUUGGCCGGGAUGAACUGGGACCAGAGUUUCAGUUUAAUAUUUUAGCACAAGAUGCAAAUGUUGCUAUUCAUAUUUAAUUAUUAUCAAUAAAAUUCCAACUUUUGAAAAAAAAAAAAAAUGUUGCACAUGAAUAGACAGGCACAUAGAAAGCAUACUUAGGACCAUUAGCAAAUAAUGAUCUAAUACCAUGUUAAACAACCGAUAGUCCCAAAAGACUAAGUAAAUGAACCAACAAUUAAUGCAUAAUGUAGGAGAAGCAAAAUAUGCAAUACAAAAACAGUUGAUCAAAACUUGACAAGCGAAAAAAAAUUGGAGGAAAAACCAAAGAUCCAGAAUCUCGACUCUAAGUGGUGCCUUAUAGGUUUCGACGUGAGUGAAUAGUAUAGGUAGUUUACUCUUGUAUAACGGAAAACUGAUGCUUGAACUAGACCUAUGUUAAUUAGUUAGUUGCAUAGAAUUAACCGCCAACAUUACAUGCCUAAUAAACAAAUGAACAGAACUUCUAAUCAGUUAGGUAAAUAACGUUUUCCGGAUUAAUCUAUGCUAAAAAGCCUGAAACGAAACUAAUUAAUAUUUAGAUACCAAAGCCAAGCCGCAAAGCAAAAGGCCAAGUCGACUACUUCCCUUUUUUU
rnacentral:lncRNA from 1 species